GUAGCUGGUCUGAGAGGAUGAUCAGCCACACUGGGACUGAGAUACGGCCCAGACUCCUACGGGAGGCAGCAGUGGGGAAUAUUGGACAAUGGGGGCAACCCUGAUCCAGCAAUGCCGCGUGAGUGAUGACGGCCCUAGGGUUGUAAAGCUCUUUCACCCACGACGAUAAUGACGGUAGUGGGAGAAGAAGCCCCGGCUAACUUCGUGCCAGCAGCCGCGGUAAUACGAAGGGGGCUAGCGUUGUUCGGAUUUACUGGGCGUAAAGCGCGCGUAGGCGGAUCUUUAAGUCAGGGGUGAAAUGCCGGAGCUCAACUUCGGAACUGCCUUUGAUACUGGAGAUCUUGAGUUCGGGAGAGGUGAGUGGAACUGCGAGUCUAGAGGUGAAAUUCGUAGAUAUUCGCAAGAACACCAGUGGCGAAGGCGGCUCACUGGCCCGAUACUGACGCUGAGGCGCGAAAGCGUGGGGAGCAAACAGGAUUAGAUACCCUGGUAGUCCACGCCGUAAACGAUGGAUGCUAGCCGUUAGGCAGCUUGCUGCUUAGUGGCGCAGCUAACGCUUUAAGCAUCCCGCCUGGGGAGUACGGUCGCAAGAUUA
rnacentral:rRNA from 1 species